rnacentral:rRNA from 1 species
UCCAGACUCCUACGGGAGGCAGCAGUGGGGAAUAUUGCACAAUGGGCGCAAGCCUGAUGCAGCCAUGCCGCGUGUAUGAAGAAGGCCUUCGGGUUGUAAAGUACUUUCAGCGGGGAGGAAGGUGUUGAGGUUAAUAACCUCAGCAAUUGACGUUACCCGCAGAAGAAGCACCGGCUAACUCCGUGCCAGCAGCCGCGGUAAUACGGAGGGUGCAAGCGUUAAUCGGAAUUACUGGGCGUAAAGCGCACGCAGGCGGUCUGUCAAGUCGGAUGUGAAAUCCCCGGGCUCAACCUGGGAACUGCAUUCGAAACUGGCAGGCUGGAGUCUUGUAGAGGGAGGUGGAAUUCCACGUGUAGCAGUGAAAUGCGUAGAUAUGUGGAAGAACACCGAUGGCGAAGGCAGCCUCCUGGGACGCAACUGACGCUCAUACACGAAAGCGUGGGGAGCAAACAGGAUUAGAUACCCCAGUACA